GGGGAAUUGUUCGCAAUGGGCGAAAGCCUGACGACGCAACGCCGCGUGGAGGACGAAGAUUUUCGGAUCGUAAACUCCUUUCGAUCGGGACGAACGACUGGUGACCUAACACGUCAUCAGAGUGACGGUACCGAGAGAAGAAGCCCCGGCUAACUCCGUGCCAGCAGCCGCGGUAAUACGGGGGGGGCAAGCGUUGUUCGGAAUUACUGGGCGUAAGGGGCGCGUAGGCGGCCUGCUAAGUCACACGUGAAAUCCCUCGGCUCAACCGGGGAACUGCGUGUGAUACUGGCGGGCUCGAAUUCGGGAGAGGGAUGUGGAAUUCCAGGUGUAGCGGUGAAAUGCGUAGAUAUCUGGAGGAACACCGGUGGCGAAGGCGGCAUCCUGGACCGAGAUUGACGCUGAUGCGCGAAAGCUAGGGGAGCAAAC
rnacentral:rRNA from 1 species